rnacentral:rRNA from 1 species
CCUACGGGUGGCAGCAGUGAGGAAUAUUGGUCAAUGGACGAGAGUCUGAACCAGCCAAGUAGCGUGAAGGAUGACUGCCCUAUGGGUUGUAAACUUCUUUUAUAAAGGAAUAAAACGAGGCACGUGUGCCUUUUUGCAUGUACUUUAUGAAUAAGGAUCGGCUAACUCCGUGCCAGCAGCCGCGGUAAUACGGAGGAUCCGAGCGUUAUCCGUAUUUAUUGGGUUUAAAGGGAGCGUAGAUGGGUUGUUAAGUCAGUUGUGAAAGUUUGCGGCUCAACCGUAAAAUUGCAAUUGAUACUGGCAGUCGUGAGUACAGUUGAGGUAGGCGGAAUUCGUGGUGUAGCGGUGAAAUGCUUAGAUAUCACGAAGAACCCCGAUUGCGAAGGCAGCUUACUAAACUGUGACUGACAUUGAUGCUCGAAAGUGUGGGUAUCAAACAGGAUUAGAUACCCCAGUAGUC